rnacentral:rRNA from 1 species
GGAGGGUGCGAGCGUUAAUCGGAAUUACUGGGCGUAAAGCGCGCGUAGGCGGCUAGGUCAGUCGGAUGUGAAAGCCCUGGGCUUAACCUGGGAAUUGCAUCCGAUACUGCCUGACUAGAAUAUGGGAGAGGGAAGUGGAAUUUCCGGUGUAGCGGUGAAAUGCGUAGAUAUCGGAAGGAACACCAGUGGCGAAGGCGACUUCCUGGCCCAAUAUUGACGCUGAGGUGCGAAAGCGUGGGUAGCGAACAGGGAUUAGAUACCCUGGUAGUCCACGCCGUAAACGAUGAGAACUAGAUGUCGGGAGGAUUUACCUCUCGGUGUCGCAGCUAACGCGUUAAGUUCUCCGCCUGGGGAGUACGGUGGCAACACUA